rnacentral:tRNA from 1 species
GUGCCUGUAGCUCAGUAGGAUAGAGCAACUGCCUUCUAAGCAGUAGGUCCGGGGUUCGAAUCCCUGUAGGCACGCCA